rnacentral:rRNA from 1 species
GACGAACGCUGGCGGCGUGCCUAAUACAUGCAAGUAGAACGCUGAAGGAGGAGCUUGCUUCUCUGGAUGAGUUGCGAACGGGUGAGUAACGCGUAGGUAACCUGCCUGGUAGCGGGGGAUAACUAUUGGAAACGAUAGCUAAUACCGCAUAAUAGCAGUUAUUGCAUGAUAACUGUUUGAAAGGUGCAAUUGUACCACUACCAGUUGGACCUGCGUUGUCUUAGCUAGUUGGUGGGGUAACGGCUCACCAAGGCGACGAUAAAUAGCCGACCUGAGAGGGGGAUCGGCCACACUGGGACUGAGACAACGCCCAGACUCCUACGGGAGGCAGCAGGAGGGAAUCUUCGGCAAUGGACGGAAGUCUGACCGGGCAACGCCGCGGUAGUGAAGAAGGGUUUCGGAUCGGAAAGCUCUGUUGUAAGGGAAGAACGAGUGUGAGAGUGGAAAGUGCACACUGUGACGGUAGCUAACCAGAAAGGGACGGCUAACUACGUG